rnacentral:sRNA from 1 species
ACGCAACUCGGUCUACACUUAACAGACUAUUAGCGCAAGGCUCUAACACAGAGCCAUUCCCCUACGCUCCGCUCAGGGACUAGAGUGGAGCCGUUUUUU